GGCGGGGGUCGGGGGGGGGCGCGGCGUUGGUGGUCGCUGUGGGGGUGUCGGUGUCGGUGCCCCCCCCCGGGCGCAGCCCCAGCACUCCCAGCACCCCCCGCGCCUCCGCCCCGGAUGCAGCGGUGGCCAAAGAGCGGCCGCAGGCGGCCAGGCGGCACCCGGCGAGCCACCGUGCGUACUGGGGGGCAUCGCGGCAGCGCAGCUGCACUUCACUCAUCC
rnacentral:lncRNA from 1 species